rnacentral:rRNA from 1 species
GAUGAACGCUGGCGGCGUGCCUAAUACAUGCAAGUCGAACGCAUUGUGGUUGAAAUGAUAUGAAGAACUUGUUCAGAUUUGAUUUUCAACAUUGCAAUGAGUGGCGAACGGGUGAGUAACACGUGGGAAACCUACCUCUUAGCAGGGGAUAACAUUUGGAAACAAAUGCUAAUACCGUAUAAUAAUUAAAACCGCAUGGUUUUAGUUUAAAAGAUGGUCUUGCUAUCACUAAGAGAUGGUCCCGCGGUGUAUUAGUUAGUUGGUGAGGGUAAUGGCUCACCAAGACAAUGAUACAUAGCCGAGUUGAGAGACUGACCGGCCACAAUGGGACUGAGACACGGCCCAUACUCCUACGGGAGCAGCAGUGGGAAUCUUCCACAAUGGACGAAAGUCUGAUGGAGCAACGCCGCGUGUGUGAU